AACGCAUAUUGCGCCCGCAGCCUCGGCUCAGGGCAUGUCUGCCUCAGCGUCGUUUGUUUCUCACUCCACAACCCAGGUCUCUGUAUCAGGAUUUGGCUAUUCCAGCGGACGCCUCCCGUGUCGGACAGCUUGAUCCGCAGAACCAUGUGGUUGUAUGUGCAAGGCUAGCAUCUUGUGUACUGGAGUGGAUCUGGCUUUUCCCAAUGAGAAAUCAUGGGUCAGCUUAAAAUGAGACGCGAGCACACUGGACGUUUUGUCCUCAACUGGGCAGGUAGAUAAGUGGGAAAAUCGCCCGGAAAGCGAUGUUAUCUGCGUUGCACCAAGUUGUUGAAUGUGUGUUGGCCAUGCAGGAUACUAUAUUACUCAAUCGACUGAGCUCAGGCAAGACUACCCGCUGAACUUAA
rnacentral:misc_RNA from 1 species